rnacentral:rRNA from 1 species
AGUGAACGCUGGCGGUAGGCCUAACACAUGCAAGUCGAACGGCAGCACAGGAGAGCUUGCUCUCUGGGUGGCGAGUGGCGGACGGGUGAGGAAUACAUCGGAAUCUACUUUUUCGUGGGGGAUAACGUAGGGAAACUUACGCUAAUACCGCAUACGACCUACGGGUGAAAGCAGGGGACCUUCGGGCCUUGCGCGAUGGAAUGAGCCGAUGUCGGAUUAGGUAGUUGGCGGGGUAAAGGCCCACCAAGGCGACGAUCCGUAGCUGGUCUGCGAGGAUGAUCAGCCACACUGGAACUGAGACACGGUCCAGACUCCUACGGGAGGCAGCAGUGGGGAAUAUUGGACAAUGGGCGCAAGCCUGAUCCAGCCAUACCGCGUGGGUGAAGAAGGCCUUCGGGUUGUAAAGCCCUUUUGUUGGGAAAGAAAUCCAGCUGGCUAAUACCCGGUUGGGAUGACGGUACCCAAAGAAUAAGCACCGGCUAACUUCGUGCCAGCAGCCGCAGUAA